GACGAACGCUGGCGGCGUGCUUAACACAUGCAAGUCGAACGGAAAGGCCCUGCUUUUGUGGGGUGCUCGAGUGGCGAACGGGUGAGUAACACGUGAGUAACCUGCCCUUGACUUUGGGAUAACUUCAGGAAACUGGGGCUAAUACCGGAUAGGAGCUCCUGCUGCAUGGUGGGGGUUGGAAAGUUUCGGCGGUUGGGGAUGGACUCGCGGCUUAUCAGCUUGUUGGUGGGGUAGUGGCUUACCAAGGCUUUGACGGGUAGCCGGCCUGAGAGGGUGAACGGCCACAUUGGUACUGAGAUACGGCCCAGACUCCUACGGGAGGCAGCAGUGGGGAAUAUUGCACAAUGGGCGGAAGCCUGAUGCAGCAACGCCGCGUGCGGGAUGACGGCCUUCGGGUUGUAAACCGCUUUCGCCUGUGCCGAAGCGUGAGUGACGGUAAUGGGUAAAGAAGCACCGGCUAACUACGUG
rnacentral:rRNA from 1 species